UGAAUACGAGACGCUACGGCGUCGAAGCAGUCUAUGUCAUACUUCCAAGAAAAGCUCGCAAUGUCAUAAACAAAUAAUGCCUGUACCAUAACCGACACAGGUGGGUAGGUAGAGUAUACUAAGGGGCGCGAGAUAACUCUCUCUAAGGAACUCGGCAAAAUGACUCCGUAACUUCGGGAGAAGGAGUGCCUUAUUUAUAAGGUUGCAAUAACAAGAUCCAAGCAACUGUUUAUCAAAAACACAGGUCUCCGCUAAGUCGUAAGACGAUGUAUGGGGGCUGACGCCUGCCCAGUGCCAGAAGGUUAAAGAAGUUGGUUAGCAUUCGCGAAGCUGAUAACUGAAGCCCUGGUGAACGGCGGCCGUAACAAUAACGGUCCUAAGGUAGCGAAAUUCCUUGUCGGGUAAGUUCCGACCCGCACGAAAGGCGUAAUGAUUUGGAUACUGUCUCGGAGAGGGGCUCGGUGAAAUAGACUUGUCUGUGAAGAUGCGGACUACCUGCACCUGGACAGAAAGACCCUAUGAAGCUUUACUGUAACUUGAAAUUGAAAUUGGACUUAUUUGCGCAGCAUAGGUGGGAGGCGUUGAGAGUAUUCUUGCGGGAAUAUUGGAGCCAUCAGUGAGAUACCACUCUUGUAAUGUUAGAUUUCUAACUUUGGAUCAUUAUCUGGUCAAAGAACAGUUUCAGGCGGGCAGUUUGACUGGGGCGGUCGCCUCCCAAAUGGUAACGGAGGCGUACAAAGGUUUCCUCUGAACGGGUAGAAAUCGUAUCUAGAGUGUAAAGGCAUAAGGAAGCUUGACUGUGAGACCUACAAGUCGAGCAGGGACGAAAGUCGGUCUUAGUGAUCUGACGGUGCUGAGUGGAAAGGCCGUCACUCAACGGAUAAAAGUUACUCUAGGAUAACAGGCUGAUCUCCCCCAAGAGUUCACAUCGACGGGGAGGUUUGGCACCUCGAUGUCGGCUCAUCGCAUCCUGGGGCGGUAGUACGUCCCAAGGGUUGGGCUGUUCGCCCAUGAAAGCGGUAUGCGAGCUGGGUUCAGAACGUCGUGAGACAGUUCGGUCCAUAUCCGGUGUAGGCGUUAGAAUAUUGAGAGGAGCCUUCUUUAGUACGAGAGGACCGAGAAGGACAUACCUCUGGUGUACCAGUUAUCGUGCCAACGGUAAACGCUGGGUAGCUAUGUAUGGAGAGGAUAACCGCUGAAAGCAUCUAAGUGGGAAGCCCACCUCAAGAUAAGUAUUCUCA
rnacentral:rRNA from 1 species